CGUUACACCCUUUCUUGACAAAACCUAACUUGCGCAGAAACCGAGAUGAGAUUGGCAUGGCUUUAUUUGUUUUUUUGGCGCUUGACUCAGGAUUUAAAAACUGGAACGGAGAAGGUGACAGCAGUGGGUUGGAGCGAGCAUCCCCAAAGUUCUACAAUGUGGCCGAGGACUUUGAUUGUACAUUGUUCUUUUUUUUUUUUUUAAUAGUCAUUCCAAAUAUCGUGAGAUGCAUUGUUACAGGAAGUCCUUUGCCUUCCCAAAAGCCACCCCGUUUCUCCCUGCAGAGAAGGGCCUGUCCUCGCCCGAGUCCACACAGGGGAGGGAAAGAGAAUUGCUUUUGUGUAAAUCAUGUAGUCCAAAUUUUUUUUAAUCUGCGCCUUAAUACUUGUUCUUUUUGUUUUAUUUUGAAUGGUCUGCCAUCACGGCCCUUGUUUUUUGUCCCCCCAAUUGAAGAUUUAUGAAGGCUUUUGGUCUCCCUGGGAGUGGGGCUGAGGCAUGGAGGCAUCCAGGGCUUACCUGUACACUGACUUGAGACCAGUUCAAUAAAGUGCACACCUUAAAAACAAAAAAACAAAAAAACAAAAAAAAAAAAAACAGUUAAAUGGUGCUGGCUUUUUUUUUUUUUUUUUUUUUUUUUUUUUUUUUUUUGGUGCUAGCUUUAUAUCCAUAUCCUCAGAUGCUUCAAAUAGAAAAUUAGUUAAUUUCGGGGCACCUAGGUGGCUCAGUUAGUUAAACGACCAAUUCUUGGUUUGAGCUCAGGUCAUGAUCUCAUGGGUUGUGGGAUUAAGCCCCAUGUCUGGCUCCACACUCAGCUAGAAGAGUCUGCUUAAAGAUUCUCUCCCUCUCCUUCUACCCCUCUACCCUCCUGCCCUUCCCCCCACUUAAGCAUGCAUAGCUCACUCUCUAAAAUAAACAAAUAAAAUUCUCCCCAAAAUAAAUAAAUACAUAUUUUAAAAAAUAUUUUUGAAUUUAUUUUAGAGAGAGAGGGAGAGAGCAGGGGGAGGAGCAGAGGGGAAGAGAGAGGUAGAGGGAAAGAGAAUCUCAGCAGACAUAGCGCCAAGCACCAGCCCCACCCAAGCUUACCCAGUAACCAGACGAUCACCACCCAAGCUGAAACCAAGAGUCAGUGGCUUAACCAAUGGAGCCACCCAGGUGCCCCAAUAAAUAAAUCUUUCAAAAAAUUAGUUAAUUUCUAUAAUGGUUUAAAUUUUUCACCAAAUUAUUGGAAACAAAUCUGGAAAUUCAUUCUACUGAAGAUGAAACAUUGUAAUAAUAAUAAUUAUAGUUUAACAUUGUGACUAUUGCUGUAAAUUAAUUUAAAAAGUUUAAUAUUGAAGAUGAAAUUACUUUUAACAUAAUGCAAAUACAUUUUUUUUGUGCAGCACAAUGUUAAAACAAAACAAAAAUUUUUACUAAAUUGUGAAAUGUAUGGAGCUAAAUUGUGCUUGGAAUUGAUUGCAUCCAAAUAAGUUGUGAUAAUCUACUAAUUAAGAUAGAGCUUUUCCUGUCAAAUUUUAAACAAUUUUUCAUAAACACCAUUUGAGUAACUGAAAUAAAACAUUUGUCAUUAAGCUAAAGCUGGAUUAAGAAGAAAAAACAAUAACCCUGCUUGCUUUUUUUUAGCUGCCUACUAAUAAUGAGAUAUUAGAAAUGUUUGAAUCUAUAGACAAGAGUUGAUUGAAGCUUUCAGCAAUUUCAAAUUUAUUAAACAUAACCUGCAAUUUGGAAAAACAGUACAACUUUAUGAGAACAAUAAAAUUAUAAAGCCAUUAAUUCUUUAGAAAAAACCUUUGACAUUGUACUAAAGACAGAUAUGGUUAAGAAAUUGAUUGAAGUACUUGAUAUAUGAUGAAAAAUUAUUCUGCUUGUUAUUUUUAAUGUUCAGAAAAUCAAUAUAAAUAAAAUUUUCUUUCAUUGUGCCAUAAUGCUCAUGAAUAUGUUUUUUUUAAAGAAAAAAUUUACAGUUGAAAACAUUUUGAAUAGAACUAUUUUAUAAUUCCACCAAUUUAAUAAAACCAAACUUGUUGGUCAGUAAAUACAUAUUUCCAAAACUAUACAAUUGCAAUUAAAAAAAAAAACCUUUUACUUUAAAAAAUGCCACAGUUUGAAGGAUAAAUUGUAUGGUCAUUCUAGGGAUGGGAGUGAUCAGCCUCAGUGGAAAUCCCCAAGCUGAGUAUGAGAGAUGAGUGAUUCUCUGAAAGGCAUAAGGAGGGAAUGGAUGCCAGUAGACCAAUCAGAUUAUGUAUACAGCCUCCGCUUAUCUGAGGUUUUACUUUCCCUGGUUUCUGUUACCCACAGUCAACCACAGUCCAGAAGUAGAGAUCCUCCUUCUGACAUAUUGUCAAAAGAUCAGUAGUAACCUCACACUAUGUCACAUGCCUACAUCAUUCACCUCAUUUCAUCUCAUCAUGUGGGCAUUUUGUUAUCUCAACUAUUAUG
rnacentral:lncRNA from 1 species